UACGUAGGGCGCAAGCGUUGUCCGGAAUUAUUGGGCGUAAAGAGCUCGUAGGCGGCUUGUCACGUCGGGUGUGAAAGACCGGGGCUUAACCCCGGUUCUGCAUUCGAUACGGGCUGGCUAGAGUGUGGUAGGGGAGAUCGGAAUUCCUGGUGUAGCGGUGAAAUGCGCAGAUAUCAGGAGGGACACCGGUGGCGAAGGCGGAUCUCUGGGCCAUUACUGACGCUGAGGAGCGAAAGCGUGGGGAGCGAACAGG
rnacentral:rRNA from 1 species